rnacentral:rRNA from 1 species
CAAUAGCGUAUAUUAAAGUUGUUGCAGUUAAAAAGCUCGUAGUUGGAUUUCGGGGCAGCCUGGCUGGUCCGCCGCAAGGCGAGUACUGGUCAGCCGCCCUUCCUCUCGAAAGCCCCGACUGCUCUUCGUUGCAGUGGUCGGGUAGUUCGGGACGUUUACUUUGAAAAAAUUAGAGUGUUCAAGGCAGGCCUACGCCUGAAUACAUUAGCAUGGAAUAAUGGAAGAGGACCUCGGUCCUAUUUUGUUGGUUUCCAGGGCCGAAGUAAUGAUUAAGAGGGACAGUUGGGGGCAUUCGUAUUUAAUUGUCAGAGGUGAAAUUCUCGGAUCUAUGAAAGACGAACAACUGCGAAAGCAUUUGCCAAGGAUGUUUUCAUUAA